rnacentral:rRNA from 1 species
GACGAACGCUGGCGGCAUGCCUAAUACAUGCAAGUCGAGCGAACAGAUGAAGUGCUUGCACUUCUGACGUUAGCGGCGAACGGGUGAGUAACACGUAGGGAAUCUACCUAUAAGCGGGGGAUAACAUUCGGAAACGGGUGCUAAUACCGCAUAAUAUCUUCUUCCGCAUGGAAGAAGAUUGAAAGACGGCUCUGCUGUCACUUAUAGACGACCUUGCGGUGCAUUAGUUAGUUGGUGGGGUAAUGGCCUACCAAGACGAUGAUGCAUAGCCGACCUGAGAGGGUGAUCGGCCACAUUGGGACUGAGACACGGCCCAAACUCCUACGGGAGGCAGCAGUAGGGAAUCUUCCGCAAUGGGCGAAAGCCUGACGGAGCAAUGCCGCGUGAGUGAAGAAGGCCUUCGGGUCGUAAAACUCUGUUAUAAGAGAAGAACAAAUUGUAGAGUAACCGCUACAGUCUUGACGGUAUCUUAUCAGAAAGCCACGGCUAACUACGUGCCAGCCGCCGCCGUAA